GGCCUUGCCCCGCUCCGACCGAAUCCCUAUCUUCCACCUUGCCGGAGCAAUCCGGCUACGUCGGUAGAGUAUCGGGUGAAAUAAGCGUUUCGGACCCGGGGGCAGUACCCCGGCGCCUCCACCACCAGCGGCAGACCUGGCCGUUGCUGAUGGGGGCGAAAUAGGAUCGACGAGCGUGGUAAAGGCCUGGUUGCCGAUCGGUAUGAGACCACCGCGACGGCUCAUUCACACAAGUGCCAACGAUAACGAGGCUCUUGCUAUUGCUGCGUAACUGAUGGCCUUACGGUCCUAAGUUACAAAGACAAAAGCGCGGUCGGACCCCACCGGGCAACAGAAGGGGAUUCCA
rnacentral:tmRNA from 1 species